rnacentral:rRNA from 1 species
CUGGCUCAGAACGAACGCUGGCGGCGCGUCUUAAGCAUGCAAGUCGAACGGGAAUGCGGUGCUUGCACCGCACGAGAGUGGCGGACUGGUGAGUAACGCGUGGGUGACGUACCCCCGGACGGGGAUAGCCCUUAGAAAUAAGGGGUAAUACCGGAUACGGUUCCGUGUGUCAGAGGCACGGAAGGAAAGGAGCUUCGGCUCCGCCGGGGGAGCGGCCUGCGUCCCAUCAGCUUGUUGGCGGGGUAACGGCCCACCAAGGCAAUGACGGGUAUCCGGCCUAAGAGGGUGAACGGACACAUUGGGACUGAGAUACGGCCCAGACUCCUACGGGAGGCAGCAGCUAAGAAUAUUCCGCAAUGGGGGAAACCCUGACGGAGCGACGCCGCGUGGAACCGAUGAAGGCCGGAAGGUUGUAAAGUCCUUUAGUCCGUGAGGAAUAACGCCGGAGGGAAUGCCGGCGGAUGACUGUAGCGGAAGAAUAAGCACCGGCUAAUUACGUGCCAGCAGCCGC